UACGGAGGGUGCAAGCGUUAUUCGGAUUUACUGGGCGUAAAGGGCGCGUAGGCGGCCACCGCAAGUCAGUUGUGAAAUCUCUGGGCUUAACCCAGAACGGUCAGCUGAUACUGCGGGGCUAGAGUGCAGAAGGGGCAACUGGAAUUCUCGGUGUAGCGGUGAAAUGCGUAGAUAUCGAGAGGAACACCUGCGGCGAAGGCGGGUUGCUGGGCUGACACUGACGCUGACAGCGCGAAAGCUAGGGGAGCGAACGGG
rnacentral:rRNA from 1 species